AUGGGGGAGCCCGGGCAGAGCGAGAGGGUGGUGAGUUGCGUCUGUAGCUGUGCAUUGACGGCGCCGUGCGGCCCGGCUGCAGGUCCCGCAGCCACGGAGAGGACCCAGCAGGCGGCACGGGGAGAGCCCGGCUCGGCACGUGGUCAGCUCCAAGUCAGCCCUGAAAUGUCCAUUACUCACAAAGAAAAGGAAAAUGCUCAUUUGAAAGAAAUUCUUCUCUUUGUCAAUGCUGAGGCAUUCUCUCAGCCCCAGCCCCACAGUGCUCCAGUGUGUGAAGGGCAACAGCUGACGGGGAAGUUGAGCACAUCUGUCCUGACCAGGGCUGGAGGCGAUGCCAGUCCGUGCAGCUGGGAACGCCUCCUCUGCUAUGGCUGGAGCCACUGCUGAAGGGACUCCACCUGGCACCUGUGCCACCAAUGGCCCCUGAACGGGUAUCCAGGCCCACCCUUAAUAAAGAUGAGCUGCUCAUUCCCAGUUUCAGACCUUCUUUAUCCUCCCCAGCUCCCCAGUGUGUUCUGGGAGAGAUCCCUCCACUGUCAGACAAAAACUUCAGAAUGACAGCGGUCAUCCCACCGAGUGCCAGCAGCGUUGGCAUGUGCUUCUCCUCGUCAGUGCGCCUCUGGCUCAGUCCAAUGCCAAGCACUUACAGCUGGGGAAACACGCACAAGCACAUACACACCCCAUACACUGGCACAGGCUCACAUGUGCACACACCCACACAUGUGCAAACACACACAUGUGCAAACACACACACAGAGGCACAUGCACAUUCUCACACAGGCACACACAAUGCACACAUGCACGAUGCACACACAGGCACACACAUGCACACCCCCACACAUGCUUACACAUGAACUUACCUGCACAUUCCCACACACGGACAUGCAGGCACACCCCUCCACACACACAUAUACGCACAUGUAUGCACAGCUUCUCACAGAUACACAAAGCAAUGCAGGUACUCAUGUAUGUAUACAUGAGCACACAUGCAUGCACACAGGCACACACAUGUGCACAAACAUAUAUAUGCACACACCCACACAUGCACAACACACACACAUAGGCACACAUGUGCACACACUCACAUGCACACACGCUCCCAUCCCCCCACCACACAAUCACACAGACGCCUAAUGCCUCGCAGCAGGUGAGACCACCCGUCAGUAGGAUUAGGGGCCAACAGAGGGUUCCGGCAGCAGAUGCAGGCAGUUUGGAGAAGGGGCUGGGCGUGAGCUAAGGCAGACA